GAAAGCAAUCUGAGUAUCACCAAAACCUUGUGCUAAUGGAGCUCUGGUCUGCAAGGGGCAGGAGUGUCUGGAAUGCACUGCAAACCAAGGGACUGCAUGGAGGGCAAAGGCAGGAUUUCUUUCCUGGGUGUUGGAGGGAGCAUUUCCCUGGAGCUGGCUACAAGAAGGAAUGUCUGUGCAGCCAUAUCUGUGACAUCUAGUGAAACUUGGGGAAAGUGCAAGUUCAGCUGAACUCCAAGGAUCGAUCCAACUGCAGUAGCAGAUGCUUCACAAUUAAAAGCCUGAAGUACUGCACCUUAUUUCAUUUACUGUCCCUUAAGCUGCUGUCUAAGAAAUGAACAAAAUGCAUUUUGGCCAUUAAAAAUUUUAAAGUUUGAGCUCAUAUUCUGGUCAAACACUUUAUGCAUUUGAAGCACAAAAAUAAUUUACUCUUUGUUCCUUUUAACUUUGGGUAUAUAUUUAGAAUAACUUUAAUAUUUUAAAUUUUGCCUCCUGCUAUUGGUGCCAUUGCUCCUCUACACUUGAAGGCUCCAAGUAUUUUGACUUACAGAAAACACUCCAAACUUUUGCAGGAAUUCAAGCUACACAUUUUUAAUAUUUGGUAUUCCUGAACUUACUGAAAAGUCAGCUUUGGUCUGCUUGUUGCUCUGGACUAAUCCAGACUGGAUGUGAAAUACUCUUUCAUCAGCAAAUGAAGUUUUCAACAGAGAUGGAAAACGUAUGCCUCCUACCUAGCAAUCAGUAAAAACUUCAAAGGAAGAGCUGCCUCCCUCAGAGCAGCAUCCACAUGCAAUAGCUUUAACAGUGUAACUUCUUUUUCUCAAAGUACAAACCCAAGUGGCUUCCAUAAAGUCUAUGUUGGUAUGGAUUUCAGCUGUGCAAAGGACAGGGCCACCACUACAAACAGGGCUCAUAAAUAUUUGGAAAAAAUACAAAGUAGCUUCAAACAGGCCAGUAUUAGAUGACUGGAAAGAGUUCAAAAAAUCUCAGGCCUUGCUUGAUCUAAAAGGCUUCAACCUCCCAAACUGACUAGGCAAUUAGGGCAGAUUCUGAACGGGAGGAUCUGAAGCAACAACUGGGAAGGGUGAACACUCUGGAGAAAUCCCAGCUGUGGGUGGCACUGAGCACACUCGCAGCCAGCACAGGGA